CUGUAGUGAACCUUGACGAGACUUCGAGAAGAAAGUCAGAUGAUUCCAUAGCCAGGUGCCAGGCCGUGUCGUUUCAGAAGAAGCUGUUAUUUUAGAGAAGUGCGGUAAAGUCACGAAUUUAUGGUCCCAGGCUUCAAAAUUUGAGAUCAAGAUGUAAUUUUACUGAAUUGUAGACAGUGUCUGG